CCAAGACUGAAUGCCACUAAUGGGCCAUUACCUGAAGGUACCGUGAAGGGCGAGCUUGUCCUUGGGAAAUAAACCUCUGGUGUGAAUUAUUCCACUUGCAUCUGACCAGCGUCAACACUGAUGGCCUGUGGAGUGGAGCCUAAGCUCAGUCCACAGCAGGGCAUGCUGCAUGAUGCUUGGAAGCUGGGGGGUGUUGAUUUCAAAGCUGC
ensembl:lncRNA novel transcript